GCCAAAUAAAGUCAAAAGACCUACGUCUGUAGUCCUUCAGUCAAAAUGGGUGAGGGAAGAGCAAAGGAGGAAGAGGGAAAUAACCAAAGUGGAAAUUUUUACCUGAAAAUCGCACAGUUCUUUCCAUUUCAUGUCUAGAGGUGUGGGACCAUUUAGUGUCUUAGCCGUGAGACUUUCAAUGAAUUUAUCAAACUUCUCUACUUCUUGGGUGAACUGAUUUAAGACUUCAGGAUCAUCAAAUGGAUCUUUUGAUGCAGGUCUGUGGGGAGAUAUUUUGUCAUCAACUGCUGGCACAGAGAGAGGCGGCAACUGUAAAAAACGAUUGAGACCAUGCUUUAAAAUUGAAACCACAAGAAAGCACGAUCUUGGCCCUUUGAAUUACUGGAGACUACCAAUAAAUGGGUGCUUUCUUUCAACUGUACGUUUUUCAGAUUUUCAACAAAAGACAGCUUCAUUUUUCGGUAUGGUACCAACGGCAAAUAGAUCACUUGUCAGUACUGUACCGACAGCAAAUAAACUACUCAUCAAUAUCUUCCUGACAGCAAACGUGUUAUUCAUCAGUACUGGUGUUCUGAAAAAUUACCACAACAGACGUUGAAAAAAAAGUGCAUGAUGAGAAAAUGAGAAAAUAUAAAAAUGCAACAAAAACUCGACAUAAAUACAGCAAGGGACAUCAACUGCUGCAGCUCUGGGGCUCACCUCUUGAUAUGUACUUAUAUUUAAAAGUAAGUUGGGAUUUUUAGAAAAGAUACACUAGAAACAACUGAUACAGAAACAUGUUACAUGUACUGGAACGUACUCACAUUCACUGGAAACCUGUUAAAAUCAUGAUUUUUCCUCUAAUUGUGUUUUUUUAUCCUUUAGAACUUACGUGACUUUAGUUAAAAUUCCGGCACCAAUCAAAGCAUUUACAUAGGGAGUAAUUUUUGUUCCCAAAAAAUUUAAAUGAGAUUACCCCUCAAAAUUCUGUACUGCACUUCUGUUACCUACUUUAAUGUCAGAGGUUUUCCCAAGGAAUCAAAAUAGCAAAAAUACUGCCUCCUUAUCAAUACCUCCGGUAAAAUUCUUAUCAGCAUGUGUUGUGAUUGGCUCCUGUGUAUAAAGAUAUAAGUGAAAAUGAAGACUUAUUAAGCCUUCUGUGCAUGCAAUCAAAACGAUGAAUUGAUCCCUCAGCAAAGAUUUCUUACAAUCAGCAUUGCUACUUUCAUUGAAAUUAUAAUUGUACAUUUAUGAUCAUUGAUACAAAUGAAAUAAUGUCAGUCAAUGACGUAAAUGCAUUCAGAUGACAUACCUAAGGCAGGUAACACCGGUAUUUGCUGAGUUAACUCAUUCAGGGGUAGCAUGAGAAUUUUCAAGUUUGUUAUAUGUAGCGUCAUAGCUUUAUGUAGGGUCUCAUUUGAUUCUGAGGCCUUUUUAUGGGCCUCCUGGUACUUGUUAGCUUCUCGCGUGAGGUCUGUAGCAACAAUUGAAGGUGGCCGACUCCCCAUCACCUCCUGAUAUUCUUUCUCUGCUACCUCUUCUGCCUGAAAAUAAAACACAAGAGAACGAUAAAAGAAUAUUUUAAUAUUAGAGUAAGAAGCAGUACUCCUAACUACAUGGACUGUUACAUUAGCCUGAGGAGUGGGUGACUGUGAGUAAAAAAUGUGAUACUAAAACUGUCUGCUCUAGUAAGAGGUGGAAAAAUUCAGUGUUGAUAACCUAACAAGAAAAUACAAGAAAAAUACACUAAAACAAGAGUAUACUAGGCUAAAUGCCAAAAAAAGCUUAAUUUUCAUCUGCCUAUGUAUAUCCAUAUUUUAGUGUAUUUUUGUGUGUUUUAUUGUUGAAUCGGGCUAUUACAUUAUAUCUCUCUUAACCUGACGAGGCAACCUACUAAAAAAGAGGUUCACAAAACAUAAGUGAAACAAAAUUUAGACAUUAUUGUGCUAACUUUAAGGGUAUUUGAAAAGUUUUUGAAUAAAUUAAAAAAAGGAAAAGU
rnacentral:lncRNA from 1 species